rnacentral:rRNA from 1 species
UUCGCAAUGCCCGAAAGGGUGACGAUGCGACGCCGCGUGAGCGAAGAAGGCCCUAGGGUUGUAAAGCUCUGUCGAGGGUUAUGAAAUAUAGAUGGGUUAAUACCCCAUUUAUUUGACAAAAGCCCAAAAGGAAGCCACGGCUAGCUCUGUGCCAGCAGCCGCGGUAAUACAGAGGUGGCGAGCGUUGUUCGGUAUUAUUGGGCGUAAAGAGCACGUAGGUGGUUUUGUAAGUCAGAUGUGAAAGCCUUCUGUUCAAAGGAAGAACGGCAUCUGAAACUACAGAUCUUGAGUGUAGGAGGGGAGAGUGGAACUUCUGGUGGAGCGGUGAAAUGCGUAGAUAUCAGAAGGAACGUCGGCGGCGAAAGCGACUCUCUGGCCUAUUACUGACACUGAGGUGCGAAAGUUAGGGGAGCAAACGGGAUUAGAUACCCCGGUAGUCCUAACUGUAAACGAUGGGCACUAAGUAGAGGGGUUUU